AACACCAAAGAAACUGUAUCUUAUUUUGAAUCAAUCACCAGAGGCUGAUCUAAGGUCAUAAAACACAGCCUCCAGUUCAUCUGUAAACAUUCAAUCAGCAGUAGAUCAUCUAAGGUCAUAAAACACAGCCUCCAGUUCAUCUGUAAACAUUCAGUCAGCAGUAGAUCAUCUAAGGUCAUAAAACACAGCCUCCAGUUCAUCUGUAAACAUUCAAUCAGCAGUAGAUCAUCUAAGGUCAUAAAACACAGCCUCCAGUUCAUCUGUAAACAUUCAAUCAGCAGUAGAUCAUCUAAGAGUGUACUUCUGUUUGUGUUUAAUGUUUUGUCCAGACACCAGUCCUCCUGAGUCCUCCCCUCCUCCUGUAGACUGUGGGCUGUGUUGGAUGUUGCUGUUCAGUCUGUGUCCUGUGUCUGCUCUCCUCUCUCCUCUCCUCCACCUGUGUCUACUCCUUCUGCAGAACAACAGCUGCAACUGAGACGCGGGUUCCUCUGAACAAGACCACGACCAGGGGAAGAGGAAGGAGACCUGUUUAACGCCUCGUCAGGGACAGAGGAGACCAAAGAAGAAGAAGAAGAGACCUAUACCAUCCAUCAAUACCAGCAGAGUGAGACCUAUACCAUCCAUCAA